rnacentral:ncRNA from 19 species
UUCUUAUCAAGAGAAGCCGAGGGACUGGCCCGACGACGCUUCAGCAACCGGUGUAGUGGUUUACCCAAACCAUGACCAAGGUGCUAAAUCCAGCAAGCUAAAAACAGCUUGGAAGAUAAGAA